GGAGAGGUGCCAGAGCGGCCGAAUGGGGCUCACUGCUAAUGAGUUGACCGGCUAAAACCGGUCCGAGGGUUCAAAUCCCUCCCUCUCCGCCA
rnacentral:tRNA from 1 species